UACGUAGGGGGCAAGCGUUGUCCGGAAUUAUUGGGCGUGAAGCACGCGCAGGCGGUUCCUGAAGUCCGAUGUGAAAGCCCACGGCUUAACCGAGGAGGGUCGUUGGAAACUGGGGAACUUGAGUACAGAAGAGGAGAGUGGAAUUCCACGUGUAGCGGUGAAAUGCGUAGAUAUGGGGAGGAACACCAGUGGCGAAGGCGACUCUCUGGUCUGUAACUGACGCUGAGGCGCGAAAGCGUGGGGAGCAAACAGG
rnacentral:misc_RNA from 1 species